GAAUCCCAACAGAUUUUGAAAAGCUAGUAGAACUAAUUCUUGAUAUUCCAUGUUAUUCCCAACUUUACUGUUUUAUACUUAGGCCUAAACACAAGCUUUUACCAUUUCUUCACCCUUAGCAUUUUAAUGUCCAAAGGUUUUUAAAAGCCCCAUUCCACACACCAUUUUUUGUCAUGUAACAGGAACAAGAAAUCCACCAGCACCAAAAACUUUAAAACUCAGUUCUUUAGUAGCAGUCUUUAGAACACUCUAGAUUAAAAAUGUAAUAAUUUGUUAAAGCAUGCAAAAGAGUGUAACAGUGAAUAAAAACCACAACUGACAAAAAUAUUGGUUAACAUUCCAAAUAUGUAUAACCAAUGAACUUGGCCUAGGUUUUUUUUUUUUUAUUGGUAUUCACUUCAGAAACUUGAAUCCACAGAUAUAAGCAGUAUAUUACCAGAAAGUUACAAGUAAACACAGAUUAUACAUGCAAAUUUCUGUUCACAAAGG